rnacentral:rRNA from 1 species
AACGAACGCUGGCGGCAGGCCUAACACAUGCAAGUCGAGCGCCCACUUCGGUGGGAGCGGCGGACGGGUUAGUAACGCGUGGGAACGUACCCUUUUCUACGGAAUAGCCUUUGGAAACGAAGAGUAAUACCGUAUACGCCCUUCGGGGGAAAGAUUUAUCGGAGAAGGAUCGGCCCGCGUUAGAUUAGAUAGUUGGUGAGGUAAUGGCUCACCAAGUCUACGAUCUAUAGCUGGUUUGAGAGGAUGAUCAGCAACACUGGGACUGAGACACGGCCCAGACUCCUACGGGAGGCAGCAGUGGGGAAUCUUGGACAAUGGGCGCAAGCCUGAUCCAGCCAUGCCGCGUGAGUGACGAAGGCCUUAGGGUCGUAAAGCUCUUUCGCCAGGGAUGAUAAUGACAGUACCUGGUAAAGAAACCCCGGCUAACUCCG